rnacentral:tRNA from 1 species
GAUGUAGCUCAGUUGAUAGAGUGCUUGCCUUGCAUGCAAAAGGCCCUGGGUUCAAUCCUCAGCAUC